rnacentral:rRNA from 1 species
GACAGAGGGGGCAAGCGUUGCUCGGAAUUACUGGGCGUAAAGGGCGCGUAGGCGGGACGGAAAGUCGGUCGUGAAAUCCUCCGGCUCAACCGGAGAACGGCGAUCGAUACUUCCGUUCUUGAGGGUUGCAGAGGAGACUGGAAUUCCCGGUGUAGCGGUGAAAUGUGUAGAGAUCGGGAGGAACACCGGUGGCGAAGGCGGGUCUCUGGGCAACUCCUGACGCUGAGGCGCGAAAGCGUGGGGAGCAAACAGG